rnacentral:rRNA from 1 species
UACGUAGGGUGCAAGCGUUAUCCGGAAUUAUUGGGCGUAAAGAGCUCGUAGGCGGUUUGUCACGUCUGCUGUGAAAACUGGAGGCUCAACCUCCAGCCUGCAGUGGGUACGGGCAGACUAGAGUGCGGUAGGGGAGAUUGGAAUUCCUGGUGUAGCGGUGGAAUGCGCAGAUAUCAGGAGGAACACCGAUGGCGAAGGCGGGUCUCUGGGCCGAUACUGACGCUGAGGAGCGAAAGCGUGGGGAGCGAACAGG